AUUGAACGCUGGCGGCAGGCCUAACACAUGCAAGUCGAGCGAGCGGCGGACGGGUGAGUAAUGUAUGGGGACUGCCCGAUAGAGGGGGAUAACUACUGGAAACGGUGGCUAAUACCGCAUACUAUCGGAUAACCCAUAUGGGAUUAGCUAGUAGGUGGGGUAAAGGCUUACCUAGGCGACGAUCCCUAGCUGGUCUGAGAGGAUGAUCAGCCACACUGGGACGGAGAAAGGGCCCAGACUCCUACGGAGGCAGCAGUGGGGAGUAUUGCACAAGGGGCGCAAGCCUGAUGCAGCCAUGCCGCGUGUAUGAAGAAGGCCUUAGGGUUGUAAAGUACUUUCAGCGGGGAGGCGUUACCCGCAGAAGAAGCACCGGCUAACUCCGUGCCAGCAGCCGCGGUAAUUC
rnacentral:rRNA from 1 species